rnacentral:rRNA from 1 species
GGAAUAUUGCGCAAUGGGCGACAGCCUGACGCAGCGACGCCGCGUGGGGGAUGAAGGUCUUCGGAUUGUAAACCCCUUUCGGCAGGGAAGAUGGAGCGGGCCACCGUUCGGACGGUACCUGCAGACGCAGCCACGGCUAACUCCGGCCCAGCCGCCGCGGUAAUCCGAAGGUGGCAAGCGUUGUUCGGAUUUACUGGGCGUACAGGGAGCGUAGGCGGUUAGGUAAGCCCUUCGUGAAAUCUCCGGGCCUAACCCGGAAAGUGCGGAGGGGACUGCUUAGCUAGAGGAUGGGAGAGGAGCGCGGAAUUCCCGGUGUAGCGGUGAAAUGCGUAGAGAUCGGGAGGAAGGCCGGUGGCGAAGGCGGCGCUCUGGAACAUUUCUGACGCUGAGGCUCGAAAGCGUGGGGAGCAAAC